GGCUAGGGCAUCAAAUCAGAAUUUUGAAUUCAGAUUCAGCCCGUCUCUCAACUCUCACAUCUCCACGCCCUUCACGCCCUUCCUGUCUCUAGCUCCACGCCCUUCCGUCUGCCUCUGGCGACCGGUGUCCCGUCCCACAGGCCAUCGGAGCCGGUGGAAUCUCCAGCGCUGCCGCGCCCAUCUCCCUCUGCACCCUCUUUUCUCUCUCUCUCACCUCUCUCCAGCGCCGCCGCGCCCGUCUGCCAGAAUCUUGCCACCCUCGACCUCUCCCAGAAUCUGCUCGUGAGCCCCCUCACGCCCUCCCUCUCCGAAGUCCGACCUCCCUUUCCUCAGGAACUGGGUAGCAGUUUGCUCCAAAUGCUUCACAAAUUUUGUAGAUUUUUUCCUUGCUUGCUGGCCUGAGAAGAAUACCAUAAAAACUCUGUUCUCAACCUGCAGAUGCGGAGGAACAUGUCAGUAUUGAAAACAUGUAAAUAUGUAAUGCAUCAUCAACAAAAGUGAUCCCAAUUCCCGACACUGCAAAAGUGCAUAAAUAAUUUUAAUUCUAAAAUAAUAGAACCAAUUAGUUUAGAAUACAUGUGCUUGGUCAUGGGAAAUAGAUAGUACAUCUUUUAACUCUUGGAGUGGUACUUCAGCUUCUUCUAAUUUGCUAACUAAUUGAACUCAAUAUUCAAAUAAGAAAAGGUAGAUACUAUUGUGAAGUUUUCAGCUUCAUCUACAUAGUUCUUUGGUGUUGGCAGAUGAUAUAUAUUGUGCAGAUAAUAUAUAUUAUCGAUCUACAUGUGAAGUAGCUAUAUAUUGUUGUUUUCAGCCUUUACUUGUUACCGCUAUAGCAAAUUAUUUUCUAGAUAGGAUUUGAGAAUUGAGAUUAAUGUUAGCUUGUUUACUUUAAUUGUGGUUAAAUUGGUGCUUAGGUUGGAAAUUUAUUUAUUAGAGUUGUUCUUUUUUUUUAAAUAUAACAUUACAAGUCUGUAUAAAAUAUUUUUUUGUUCUAAAUAAACAUAAAACAUUAGUUGGUGGAGUGGAUAGGACCUCAUUCUUUCUUUGAAAGGACAAGGGUUCGAAACUUCGAAUCCUAGUGCCUACAAAUAUUAAAUUCGAAUUUUUUGCAAUAAUCCGGGUUAAAUUCGGUUAACCGGAUUAACCGGUUUUCUUCGCGAAAUUGAAAGUCAUCGAAUUUAUCGAUUAAUUCAGUUAAUCAGUACAUUAUCCGGUUCGGUUAUCAGUUAGGCAUUUAGGGCUUAGCCGGUUCCGAUUAACCGGUAAACCAGUCGGUUAAUUUACCUGGAAUGGUAAACCAAAAGCAGAAGUAGUUGUAGAAGAAAGAGGUCUUGACCUAAAAUCUUAAGGUGAGCUCUCAUUUAUGUUUGAUUGUUAGACGAUGAUUUUUCACUAUAAGCAACUAAUCAUGAAGCUGUAAUGAUUCUCGUUCGAUUAAGUUAGGGCCAAUUUGAUUUCCUGGUCAUGGCUGUAUUACUUCCUUUACUGGGCUAAAAAUCGUGUUUGAUUUUCAAGUAAAUUAAACAAGCAACCCCAUGUAAAGGGGCAUGCCCGGCGCUAAAUCCUCAUUUUCUCAAGGAAACGCAACCGAUGCUGCCCCCUGGUUAGCUAAUAUGGGGUGUUAAGUUAAAAAAAAAUUCGCGACUUUACCCCCAAAAUCAGAUUUAAAAAUUUUCUAUUCUUCUAUCUGCCGCUCAUAUGCCCUAGUGAGAAAAAAUAUUUGAAGAUCGAAGCGCCAUAAUUGUGUUUGCGUCUCCCAAUUGUUAUUUUCAAUUUGUUAUUUUUUAUCUGCAACUAUAGAUUCAAUUUGUUCAUUUCGAUUUUUUGUGAAUGAUAUAGCUUUAACCGGGGCUUGUUUUUGUCUGGAAGGGUUCGAUACUCACCGGAAUCUACUGUCGUCGAGUUGUAUUCGCGCGGAGUUGACGUCGGGUGUGGCAAAAUAUACCUAUGUGGACUUCAUGGACAGGGAGCCUAAUAAAUUAUAUCAUGGGAAUUGACUGGAAUCCCAUACCUUCAUGCUACUGCUUCAAUUAUGUACAUGAAAGGUAAUGUGGAUGAAUAUGUGCAUGAUUAUUACACAAUAGAGCGGUACAAGAAGGCAUAUGAGGUAGGUAUCAAGCCAUUAAGGGGAGAAAAGAUGUGGCCUCAUGCAGAUGGAUGGCCGGUUAAGCCACCUACAUAUACUAAGAGAGCUGGAAGAGGGCAACAGAGCAUAAUGAGAAACACCAUACCAACCCAAAUAAAUUGAGAAGAUUUGGACUGAAAAUGACAUGUAAGAAGUGUUGGCAGCAGGGGCACAACACAAGAGGAUGCAAGAAUGAGAAGUGUGAUCCACCACCUAAAGAAAAGAGAAGAAUAGGGAGACCAGCUAAAGCUCAAUCAGAGGCUCAAUCAAGCCAAGUAACUGGUACAGGGACUAGCUCCCUUACAAAUGCAGCUUCUCAGGCUAACCCUCGAGCUCCCACAUCACUCCCACUCCAAGUGAGAAAAACAAUUGCAAAGGAGAGAGCACUUGCAAGGAAAGGAAUUGGCACAAUGGUGACAGAGUCAGGAAACAUCUAUGUGAGGGGUUCAACCAAACAAAGAGGUUCAAUAUUUAUCAAUCCAAAGAAGGUAUCUGAGCUCCCAAGCACUCAAGAAAGUGGGAAUGAUGGAGUGUAAUAGAUGUAGUCUGCAUUGUGCUGGUUUCAUAAGAAUUGUGGUUUGGAAUUCUCUGUAAUAUUAUGGGAUUUGAGACAACUUUUUCAUUUCUUGUAGGAAUUAUGGUACAAUGUGGUUGAAUGUAAUCUUCAAUGAAUUUGUGUUAUGUAUUCAA